UCAAUGCUCGUAAGAGUGAACUAGCUAACUGGAAUCAUAUUUGUGUCAUCUAUGAUAAGGUAAAUGAAAAUAAUGAUAAAAUUUUACUAAUAGUGUUGUCUAAAGCUGGUGCCAGAAGACUCGGUAAUGCCAGAGACGCAAGCGUUAAUCAUAUUGAUCAGGCGUAAAGGGUUUGUAGGCUGUUUUAAUAAAAUUAAAACUAGAAUCUAAUAGAGGUAAAAUUAAGAGAAUAUUUAGAGAAGGGUUGACAUCUGUAGAUACUAAGUAGAAUUCUAAUAGCGUAAGCUCUUUACCAAGUAUAGAUUGACGCUGAAAAACGAAGGUGAGGAACGACAAUAGGAUUAGAUACCCUGGCAUCCUUCUCUGUCAACGAUGAAUGGUAGUUGCUAGUUAUAAAUAGUUACGUGGUUACACGUUAACCAUUCCGCCUUGUGAGUACAAUUGCAAAGUUGAAACCAAAAAAUUAGUCGGUUUCGGAGCAAACGAAGUGAAGCAUGUUU
rnacentral:rRNA from 1 species